rnacentral:rRNA from 1 species
UACGAAGGGGGCUAGCGUUGCUCGGAAUCACUGGGCGUAAAGGGCGCGUAGGCGGCGUUUUAAGUCGGGGGUGAAAGCCUGUGGCUCAACCACAGAAUGGCCUUCGAUACUGGGGCGCUUGAGUAUGGUAGAGGUUGGUGGAACUGCGAGUGUAGAGGUGAAAUUCGUAGAUAUUCGCAAGAACACCGGUGGCGAAGGCGACCAACUGGACCAUUACUGACGCUGAGGCGCGAAAGCGUGGGGAGCAAACAGG